GAGAGCUCUACGUGCACCUCCUGAUUUUCCUGACUAUCCGUCUGUCCGUCCGUCAUUUUACGGAUACCCCUUGGCUGUGAUUGGUCCGUAUUAAGAACCGCUUGCGGCGGGGGCGGGGUUGCCGUGAUAAACAGGACGAACAGAAUCCUUUGACCGCCAUUGCUUCUUCGCUGCGGACGAAAACAGUUUUCAGGCCAGAGAGCCCCAAUGUGACAAGUACGAUGCAACAAUGUGCUCCAAGGCGUCCGAGGAGUUGGAUCCUGUGUGUGGGAGUGAUGGACUCAGCUACAACACUGAGUGUAUCCUCUGUCAAAACAACAUGGUCAAGAACCUGCACGUCAUGGUGGUGCACAUUGGGAAGUGUAAGGUCUAGCCAUCCAACCAGUCUGCCUGACAGGAAACUUAUCUGAGAGGAUGGUCUCCAGACUGACCACCCAAGGAUCACAGCCAUGGUUGGCUAUUAUACAUGUAGUACAAAACUGUAAUAAAGAUAUACAGCUUCCAUA